rnacentral:rRNA from 1 species
CCUACGUGCGGCAGCAGUGAGGAAUAUUGGUCAAUGGGCGCGAGCCUGAACCAGCCAAGUAGCGUGAAGGAUGACUGCCCUACGGGUUGUAAACUUCUUUUAUAAAGGAAUAAAGUGAGGCACGUGUGCCUUUUUGUAUGUACUUUAUGAAUAAGGAUCGGCUAACUCCGUGCCAGCAGCCGCGGUAAUACGGAGGAUCCGAGCGUUAUCCGGAUUUAUUGGGUUUAAAGGGAGCGUAGAUGGGUUGUUAAGUCAGUUGUGAAAGUUUGCGGCUCAACCGUAAAAUUGCAAGUGAUACUGGCAGUCUUGAGUACAGUUGAGGUAGGCGGAAUUCGGGGUGUAGCGGUGAAAUGCUUAGAUAUCACGAAGAACUCCGAUUGCGAAGGCAGCUUACUAAACUGCCACUGACAUUGAUGCUCGAAAGUGUGGGUAUCAAACAGGAUUAGAUACCCUUGUAGUC